rnacentral:rRNA from 1 species
UACAGAGGUCUCAAGCGUUGUUCGGAUUCAUUGGGCGUAAAGGGUGCGUAGGCGGCGGAGUAAGUUGGGUGUGAAAUCCCGGGGCUCAACCUCGGAAUUGCAUUCAAUACUGCUUCGCUAGAGUACUGGAGAGGAGGCUGGAAUUUACGGUGUAGCGGUGAAAUGCGUAGAUAUCGUAAGGAAGACCAGUGGCGAAGGCGGGUCUCUGGACAGUUCCUGACGCUGAGGCACGAAGGUCAGGGGAGCAAACGGG